AAAAUACUAUGGGAUUAUUGAGUAGGAAGAAACUGACUUUAAUAAAGAUAGAUCAAGGAAUGAUUCAGAGAUAUAAAGUUAUCUUCAAAUAUUAACUUAAUUAUUCUCUUUAAACUGGGCUUGUAUCUAUAGUUUAAUAUCCAUUUUGGCAAAUAUGCAUUUUUACUGCCUAUUUUCAGGAUUGCUCACUAUAGCCUCCAGUCUAGUAUGUGAUGGAGUACCAUGAAGGGGGUAGCUGGGCUGAUUCUUCACAAAGAGAGCUUAUUCAACAUGUGACUGGUAUAAAAGCUGCUCCCAACCAUGCCUGCUAAGGUUUAGGGAUAAUAUGUCAAGGAAGCCCUAUCACUGUCAUUGCUCUUAUCCGAGCUUUAGCAAAAAUUGCAAGGGAGUAACUAGGUAAACAUUUACCUGUUUAGUAUUUCUAAAGUAAAUCCUGUAGAUUAUUAUCAUCAGAAUCACCCGAAACUUUGGAGUUGGGCUUUAGAUAUAAUUCACAUGCCAUACAUUUCCCCACUUUAAAAUGUGCAAUCCAGUGGUUUUUCAUAUAUUCACAAUGUUGUGAAAUCAUCACCACUAUCUAAUCCUAGAACAUUUCAUCACCUCAAAAAGAAACUGUACUCAUUAGCAGUCACUUCCCAUUUCCCACCUCCCUCAGCACCUGAAAACCACUCAUCUACUUUGUGUCUAUGAAGUUGCCUAUUCUAACCAUCUCAUAUAAGUGAAAUCAUACAAUAUGUGAUCCUUUGUAAAAGACAACAUGUUUAAAAGCAAAAUUAGUAACACUGUCAGGUGGAGUAUAUAACAGAUAUAAAAGUAAAAGGAGGCUAGGUGCAGUGGCUCAUGCCUGUAAUCCCAGCACUUUGGGAGGCCAAGGUGUUCAGAUCACGAGGUCAGGAGAUCAAGACCAUCUUGGCCAACAUGGUGAAACCCUGUCUCUACUAAAAUACAAAAAAUUAGCUAGGCAUGGUGGCUCAUGCCUGUAAUCCCAGCUACUUGGGAGGCUGAGGGAGGGGAGUCACUUGAACCCAGGAGGCAGAGGUUGCAGUGAGCUGAGAUUGCACUGUGUCUGGAAUUGGUUCAAUCUCCCCUCUAAACAGGACUCACCAACUGCUUUUGGGAAUUGGACGAUGACCGCUCUAGCUACUUCCUGCCAGAGAGGGGCAAAGAAGGGGCCCUGCAGUUGUAGUGUCCUCCAGAGGGGAACUCUUUAGACCAGUGAAAGGGCCAGUGGGUCGGUCCAGGGGUCCUCAGUAGAAGUUGUUAGUUGAGCUCAUUUGGGGUUCCAUUUGUAAGACC
rnacentral:lncRNA from 1 species